UUAAGCUAUUAAGAGCAUGUGGUGGAUGCCUUGAUGUCAGAGCUGAAGAAGGGCGUGGUAAGGCUGCGAAAAGCCUCGGUGAGCUGCCAAGCAAGCUUAAGCCGGGGAUUCCCGAAUGAGGAAACUUAUUCUGGUAAAGCCAGAAUACUUCUAGCUGAACACAUAGGCUAGAUAGAAGGAACCAAGGGAACUGAAACAUCUUAGUACCUUGAGGAAGAGAAAUCAAUAUGAGAUUCCCCUAGUAGUGGCGAGCGAAAGGGGAAGAGCCCAAACUUUACUGGCUUAGUGGCUUUGGGGCCUAUGCCAGCGAGGGGUUGUAAGGCGUAGAGGGGGGAAGCCCAAAAUUCCCCAGCAAAGUUAUAAACCGAUUCCUAGUCGAAGGUUCCUGGAAAGGACAAUCGUAGAGGGUGAUAGUCCCGUAGACGAAAGGAUGAGGCUUUGUUCUAUGACCUUGAGUACCACGAGACACGAGGAAUCUCGUGGGAAGCAGGGGGGACCACCCUCCAAGGCUAAAUACUUCUGACAAUCGAUAGUGGACCAGUACCGUGAGGGAAAGGUGAAAAGAACCCCGGGAGGGGAGUGAAAUAGAACCUGAAACCAUAUGCUUACAAGCGGUCAGAGCUCUGCGUUGCAGAGUGAUGGCGUGCCUAUUGAAGAAUGAGCCGGCGAGUUGAUUUGCGUAGCCUCAAGGUUAAGCAACUGGCGUUGCGUAGCCGUAGCGAAAGCGAGUCUGAACAGGGCGGAGGUACUUUGUGCCGGGUUGCGUGGAUCAGACCCGAAACCAGGUGAUCUAUCCAUGACCAGAGUGAAGCAGGAGUGAAAUUCUGUGGAGGCUCGAACCUUUCAGUGUGGCAAAACUGUGGGAUGAGUUGUGGAUAGGGGUAAAAUGCCAAUCGAACCUGGAGAUAGCUGGUUCUCCCCGAAAUGCAUUGAGGUGCAGCCUUAGGAAAUAAUCUAUGGGGGUAGAGCUCUGGAUGAGUUACGGGGGAGAGUAUCUUACCGGAUUCAACCAAACUACGAAUACCAUAGUUUUCUAUCCUAGGAGUGAGACUGUGAGGGAUAAGCUCCAUAGUCGAGAGGGAAACAGCCCAGAUCCUCAGCUAAGGCCCCUAAAUGUAGGCUAAGUGGGAAAGGAAGUGGAAUUGCUAAAACAGCCAGGAUGUUGGCUCAGAAGCAGCCAUCAUUUAAAGAGUGCGUAAUAGCUCACUGGUCGAGUGGUUCUGCACCGAAGAUGUAACGGGGCUCAAGUCUACUGCCGAAGCUAGGACAUUCUUAAAAGGAAUGGGUAGGGGAGCGUUCUAUUGGCAGUGAAGGUGGGCCGUAAGGCUAGCUGGAGCGAAUAGAAGUGAGAAUGCCGGCAUGAGUAGCGUAAAGAUAUGUGAAAAACAUAUCCACCGUAAACCCAAGGUUUCCUACGCAACGUUGAUCGGCGUAGGGUUAGUCGGUCCUAAGCCGAGGGCGAAAGCCGUAGGCGAUGGACAGUUGGUUAAUAUUCCAACACCGCUUAUUUUCGUUUGAAAGCCAGGUGACACAGGGAGGCAGGCAAGGCAUGCCUAUUGGACAUGGUGUGUCCCUGCCCUCGGAAGGGGGUGGGGGAAGUUGAGGGGAAACCCGAUAUAACUUUGCCGGGCCCGGAUUGUCGAGAAAAGCCGAAGCUCGAGAAAGUGAGCGUCCGUACCGCAAACCGACACUGGUGGGUGGGGACAAACAUCCUCAGGUGAUCGAGAGAACCCUCGUUAAGGAACUCGGCAAUUUGACCCCGUAACUUCGGAAGAAGGGGUGCCUCUGAAAAAAUGAGGCCGCAGUGAAAGGGCCCAGGUGACUGUUUAACUAAGUCACAGGUCCCUGCUAAAGCGAAAGCUGAUGUAUAGGGGCUGAUACCUGUCCAGUGCCGGAAGGUUAAGGGGAGGAGUGAGAGCUUCGAACUGAAGCCCCGGUGAACGACGGCCGUAACUCUGACGGUCCUAAGGUAGCGAAAUUCCUUGUCGGGUAAGUUCCGACCCGCA
rnacentral:rRNA from 1 species